GCCUUCUUAGCUCAGUGGUAGAGCGUUGCACUUGUACUCGGGCCAUCUGGGUUCAUGCAAAGGUCAGUCGUUCAAUCCGGCUAGGAGGCA